GUGCCUGAGACGUCCUGACUGAGGAGGACAUUGUGUCAAAGACUCAAGCGAAUCCUCAGGUUUCCAGCUCGAACCGUUACAGUCUCCAUCUUUAACCUCUUUGAUGAAUCUCCACAAAACACACCUAUAGCCUCCACCUUCUGCCACCAGCCUCCAGGCCGACUUCAGGAAGUUCAUCAGUGAUCAGGCAGACGAUGGUCAAGUCC